GAUGAAGAACGCAGCGAAAUGCGAUACUUGGUGUGAAUUGCAGAAUCCCGUGAACCAUCGAGUCUUUGAACGCAAGUUGCGCCUCAAGCCAUUAGGUUGAGGGCACGUCUGCCUGGGCGUCACAUAUCGUUGCCUGAUGCCAGUUUCCUCGUGAUGGGUGACUGUGCAGGGCGACUGAUGGCUUCCCGUGAGCAUUGUUGCCUCAUGGUUGGUUGAAAAUUGAGUCCUUGGUAGGGAGCGCCGUGAUAGAUGGUGGUUGAGUGACGAACGAGACCCAAUCAUGUGAGACCCCUACCGAAUUUGGCCUUCAUGACCCACAUGCGUCUUUGGAACGCUCAUGACGAGACCUCAGGUCAGGCGGGGCUACCCGCUGAGUUUAAGCAUAUCAAUAUGCGGAGGA
rnacentral:misc_RNA from 1 species